rnacentral:lncRNA from 1 species
AUAUAUAUAUAAUUAGGCUACUAUACUAUCUAUAGCACCGGAGCUCCGGCACUAUAGUCUCGUUUUUUAUCUUAGAGUGUUCAAAUUAACGAUCCACACCGUUAAAUAUGAUCUAGGGUGUAUAAAGUUCUUAGGAAUAAAGUUUUAGUUUUUUUCGGCAUCGUUUACUUAGUAAAUAAAUUAUGUCAAAAUGGACGGUGGAAAUUAAAUAAUCUUUAAAAUUUAAGCAUAGCACUUUUAAAUUCAAGAUCAAGAAUGUUAACUUUAAUCUAGAUAGUUUAAAAUAUUUUCUAUCAAAAUUUGAAGAAAUUUAGAUUCUUCGACACCGUUAAACUCCAAACUUGCCAUAGUAGCCAUUGGAAAUUGACAAUUUUGAAAUAGUUUAAUCAUAAAGUAAACUAUGUCGAAAAAAUAUAAAAUUUUAUUUCUAAAAACUUUAAAUACCCUAGAUCAGUUUUAACGGUGUGGAUCGUUAAUUUGAACACUCUAAGAUCGAAAACGAGACUACAGUACCGGAGCCCCGGUACAAUAGAUAGUAUAGGAGACUAGCUCUAUAUAUAUAUAUAUAUAGAGAGAGAGAGAGAGAGAGAGAGAGAGUUGAGCUAGAAUACUCUCGAUAGUAAACGGAGCGUUUUACUAUCGAGUUGUUUUCGAUGAUAGAGCUUCCAAAUUGACGAUCGGCUCCGUUAAAUAUGAUCUAAACCAUUUAAACUACCUAGAAAUUAAAUUUCACGCACUUUCGAUAUUGUUCUUUUAUCCAUCUAGUGAACAGAAAAUGAAUGGUUGAAAAUGAAUAUUCUUUAAAAAAUGAUGAUAGGAGUCUUGUAAUCAAGAUCAAGAGUAUAGAUCUUGUUUUAAAUAGUUUAAAG